rnacentral:rRNA from 1 species
AACGAACGCUGGCGGCAUGCCUAACACAUGCAAGUCGAACGAGACCUUCGGGUCUAGUGGCGCACGGGUGCGUAACGCGUGGGAACCUGCCCUUAGGUUCGGAAUAACUCCCCGAAAGGGGUGCUAAUACCGGAUAAUGUCUUCGGACCAAAGAUUUAUCGCCUUUGGAUGGGCCCGCGUUGGAUUAGCUAGUUGGUAGGGUAAAAGCCUACCAAGGCGACGAUCCAUAGCUGGUCUGAGAGGAUGAUCAGCCACACUGGUACUGAGACACGGCCCAGACUCCUACGGGAGGCGGCAGUGGGGAAUAUUGGACAAUGGGCGAAAGCCUGAUCCAGCAAUGCCGCGUGAGUGAUGAAGGCCUUAGGGUUGUAAAGCUCUUUUACCCGGGAUGAUAAUGACAGUACCGGGAGAAUAAGCUCCGGCUAACUCCGUG